rnacentral:ribozyme from 1 species
UACUGCACUAGUAAGGUACGGAUCUAAAGCCUCUCCAACGACAUAAAAGUCUUUGAAUACCCUACACCUAUUCAAUACGUCUUCAGAUAACAGAGCAGUAACAUCUUUCUCCAAAUAUCUGACCUUAGAUAUACGGGAAAACCCAGCAAUUUGGGAGGAUGAGUGAAAUGGGAAAAUUGAGAGAA